AUCGUUUUUUGGCUUUUUAGCUAAGAUCAAGUGCAGUAUCUGUUCUUAUCAGUUUAAUAUCUGAUAUGUUCUCUAGGUGAGAACGUUGUAUUAAACGAAUUUUUAGAACAGGGAGCUGGAAUCAGGGCUUGCUUUUCCCGUUCCAUGCAUCAACCUGGUAUUGCAGUACAUUCAGGAAUAGUGUUCUUGUU